rnacentral:rRNA from 1 species
GAUGAACGCUGGCGGCGUGCCUAAUACAUGCAAGUCGAGCGAACAGACGAGGAGCUUGCUCCUCUGACGUUAGCGGCGGACGGGUGAGUAACACGUGGAUAACCUACCUAUAAGACUGGGAUAACUUCGGGAAACCGGAGCUAAUACCGGAUAAUAUAUUGAACCGCAUGGUUCAAUAGUGAAAGACGGUUUUGCUGUCACUUAUAGAUGGAUCCGCGCCGCAUUAGCUAGUUGGUAAGGUAACGGCUUACCAAGGCAACGAUGCGUAGCCGGCCUGAGAGGGUGAUCGGCCACGCGGGAACUGAGACACGGUCCAGACUGCGACGGGAGGCAGCAGUAGGGAAUCUUCCGCAAUGGGCGAAAGCCUGACGGAGCAACGCCGCGUGAGUGAGGAAGGGCUUCGGAUCGUAAAACUCUGUUAUUAGGGAAGAACAAAUGUGUAAGUAACUAUGCACGUCUUGACGGUACCUAAUCAGAAAGCCACGGCUAACUACGUG